UAAAGAAAGAUAAGCUAAUUAAGCUAUUGGGUUCAUACCCCACUUAUAGGAGUUAUAAUCUCCUUCUCU
rnacentral:tRNA from 1 species